rnacentral:rRNA from 1 species
AUGUGGGAGGACGAGCUAUUGGGAGAUGCAUGGUUGGCCACUAGCAUUGAUCCAAUCCAUGGCACGGAGCAAAAGGGCACAACCUUUUGGAGGAACAUUCAUAUAUGGUUCCAUGAACACAAGCAUUUCGCACGCUACUCUGACGUGGUAAUUCGCAAUCGUGAAUGGAAGUCCCUCAACCAUUGAUGGUACAACAUCCAAGAGGCCGUGUCCAAGUAUUGCGGGCACUUGAAGCAUCUCAUCGCACGGUGGCCUAGUGGUGCACAGAUCAUCGAACAAGUAAGUUGA